rnacentral:rRNA from 1 species
AACGAACGCUGGCGGCGUGCCUAACACAUGCAAGUCGAACGGAAUGAGGUGCUUGCAUCUCAUUUAGUGGCGCACGGGUGAGUAACGCGUGGAUAAUCUGCCCUGGUGUCUGGGAUAACAUCCCGAAAGGGGUGCUAAUACCGGAUAAGCCCACGGGAUCUUCGGGUCUUGAGGGAAAAGGUGGCCUCUGAAUAUGCUACUGUACCAGGAUGAGUCCGCGUCCCAUUAGCUAGUUGGCGGGGUAAAGGCCCACCAAGGGGACGAUGGGUAGCUGGUCUGAGAGGAUGAUCAGCCACACUGGAACUGAGACACGGUCCAGACUCCUACGGGAGGCAGCAGUGGGGAAUUUUGCGCAAUGGGGGAAACCCUGACGCAGCAACGCCGCGUGAGUGAUGAAGGCCCUUGGGUCGUAAAGCUCUGUCAGUGGGGAAGAAGUGAUUGAGGGUUAAUACCCCUUGGUUUUGACGGUACCCACAAAGGAAGCACCGGCUAACUCCGUGCCAGCAGCCGCCGUAAAAC